CUCUGCAGCUGCUGGCUCAGGGUGGAGACCAGGGUCACAGGGUACGUGAAUGCUUUCUCUUUCUUGCUCAGUUCUGGGGCUCAGUUCUGGGGCAUUGGGCUCAGCUUGCCUCCUUUAGGAGCUUUACCACAAGGUAAAAUGUUAAGCAGACACACUGUAAGAAUUGCUUUUUUUAGAAACCAGCAUUGAGGAAUCCAUGGAAAACCCACCACGAACUGCCUCAGAAGCUCGCUUCUCAGGGGCCAAUGUGGGUCGUAGGUGUAGUUACCUUGCUCCUCCCUGAGCCCAUGCUGGCCAGUGGGAAGUUAUGUUCAUGCUUUUUUAUGCUUCCAGGUGUGUCUGUCUAUUCUUCCCUAAGCUUUGCCCUUAAGGAGUCACUGCAGAAGUUGAUACGUAUAUUUUCAUGAUGCCAAACACAUUUUUGAAAUUAUUCUUUGGUAAUUUGGAGAACAAAUUUAUGUCAAGAAAAUCAUGAUUGUUUUACAGCUGUACUGCUUUGCAAAGCUAGCUUCCUCAACUGAGCUGGCUUCUGCACGAAUUUCUCAUUUCAUAAAUAAAAUCUGAUUUCUCUGAAGAUAUUCAAAAGAAAGUGCUAUAAGCUUUGGGUCUGAUUUCAAGAAGGGGAUUCCAAAAGUUUGCUGAAAUUUACAGCAACUAGGUCUCCAGGAAUAUUGCUUUAAUUUAUUUGGCUGGAUUAAGACUGGAAUAUUUAUUUUAGAAAAAUCAAGCAAACCACAUUUGAUUUCUUGACAGAGGGUCUCUUUUCUCCUAGGAGGGUCACACAUCUUGGAAAAAACUCCAAGGUUUUUCAUCAUCGCAGAAUCCCUUACACUGAAAUUUAAUGACCAAGCAAAAUGGCAGUUUAUUUCUAAUCAGUAAAACUUCCAUUAGACAACAUUCCUGCAGGAAGGGUAGAAGGCAACUCAUUAUGAAAUCCAGAAGCAAGAUUUUCUCUGAUUUCUGCAAGAGGGAUCAAGGCAACAAUGUACAGAGAGCUUCCAAGGUUUUUCCUGUCCAUUUAUUCAACAAAUAGUUUUGAGUUUCUACAAUAUUCCAGGCCUGGUGUUCUAGCGAACAAUGCAUCCUCUCACGAGACUGAAAAGUAGGGGAGAGGUAGUAACCAAACAGUCAUAUAAGUAGGUUAAAAUUAGAACUAUGAUAAAUUCUGUGAAAAAGAGAUGUACAGUGUUAUGGGAACCUGUAAGAAUGGGAUUAGACCCAAUUCUUGGGUUGGAGAAGGUUUUCCUGAGAAAGUGAGGUAGAGUUGAGAUCUUAAUGAUAGUCAGGAUUCAAAGAUAGCCUUCUUGUUCCCGUUGUUGUGUCUUUAUAAACUCUUCCCUUUCAGUGUGGGCAGAACCUGUGAUUCACUCAUAACCAAUAGAUUGCGGCAAAGGUGAUGGGAAAGCAGUCCUAUGAUUAAGUUGUAACACAUAUUAGAGCAGUGAAAAUAAAGAAAACCAGAUGAGUUUGAGAAAAUUCCGAAGGUAAAACGUAUGGGACUCUGUGAUGGUUUAGAGACAAGGGUAUGAAUGUGGGAAGUACCAAAAACAGCACUUUGGUUUCUGUCUUGGUCAUUCUUGGGCAUGAGUAACAUUGAAAGACAGAUCUGAGAUAUGGGAUCAAAGAUCAUGACUUUUGUUUGAACACAGCUUUCUCAGGUGGCUCAUUUGUAAGGAAUCUGCCUGCCAAUGUAGGAGACACAGGAGAUGCAGGUUCAAUUCCCGGGUCGA
rnacentral:lncRNA from 1 species